AGUGAACGCUGGCGGUAGGCCUAACACAUGCCAGUCGAACGGCAGCACAGUAAGAGCUUGCUCUUACGGGUGGCGAGUGGCGGACGGGUGAGGAAUACAUCGGAAUCUACUUUUUCGUGGGGGAUAACGUAGGGAAACUUACGCUAAUACCGCAUACGACCUACGGGUGAAAGCAGGGGAUCUUCGGACCUUGCGCGAUUGAAUGAGCCGAUGUCGGAUUAGCUAGUUGGCGGGGUAAAGGCCCACCAAGGCGACGAUCCGUAGCUGGUCUGAGAGGAUGAUCAGCCACACUGGAACUGAGACACGGUCCAGACUCCUACGGGAGGCAGCAGUGGGGAAUAUUGGACAAUGGGCGCAAGCCUGAUCCAGCCAUACCGCGUGGGUGAAGAAGGCCUUCGGGUUGUAAAGCCCUUUUGUUGGGAAAGAAAAGCAGCAGGUUAAUACCCCGCUAUUCUGACGGUACCCAAAGAAUAAGCACCGGCUAACUUCGUG
rnacentral:rRNA from 1 species